CACUCUUCUCGGCCUCUUGGCUAAGAUCAAGUGUAGUAUCUGUUCUUAUCAGUUUGAUCUCUGGUAUGCUGGACACUGUCCAGCAAUUUGAUCAAAUUGAUUUUUCUCCGGGACUGCGUGCGCUGGCUUGCCAGCGCAACAGUGCUCGUGGUCCUCGGCUUGCACGCUCCAGGGAUCGCGGACCCGUC
rnacentral:snRNA from 2 species